rnacentral:lncRNA from 1 species
AAGGGCCAUCGGUAAAAAUCUGGGAAAUCUAAUGAAGACAGCCAAGUCACUAAGGUAGCGAGGAGGAGUGUCGGUGUCAAAACCGGCGGAUCUUGGGUAGGGGGUCCCAAACUGUGCGUCUAGGCCGAAUGGUAACAGGAGGCAGGGGACACGAUGUUUUACCCAGGUUCGGGCCCUCUUGAUGGAGGUAAAACCCUACGUCCUGCUUGAUUAAUAUUGAAGAUAUGUGUAGUACAAGAGUAGAUCUAUCAUGAGAUCAGAGAGGCUAAACCCUAGAAGCUAGCCUAUGGUAUGAUUGUAUGUUGUGAUUGUUGUUCUACGGACUAAAACCCUUCGGUUUAUAUAGACACCGGAGAGGGUUAGGGUUACACAAGGUCGGUUACAAAGGAGGAGAUAUCCAUAUACGUAUUGCCUAGCUUGCCUUCCACGCCAAGUAGAGUCCCAUCCGGACACGAGACGAAGUCUUCAAUCUUGUAUCUUCAUAGUCUAACAGUCCGGCCAAUGGAGAUAGUCCGGCUAUCCGGAGACCCCCUAAUCCAGGACUCCCUCGGUAGCCCCCGAACCAGGCUUCAAUGACGACGAGUCCGGCGCGCAGUAUUAUCUUCGGCAUUGCAAGGCGGGUUCCUCUCCAAAUUCUGUGUACCUGUCGAAAUAAUGUCCGGUUCCUUGUGAUGCUUUGUACUCCUUGGCUUCUACACCCAAUAAUGGCCACUUUCCACGUGUCGAGCGAAUGUGAAGAGCCAGGGUGUUUUCACAUUUACCCCCUAGCUAUGUAAAUGAGCCGCCUAUUUAAAAAGACGAGGAUUCAGAUCCAAAUCACAUCAUCCUCCCUUGCCGAGUCUUCAUCAGAGCGUACCCGACAGAGAUCCAUUCCACCAUGGCCGGUCGACGCAGCUCCUCCUCUCGCACCCCUAGUUCCAAGCCUGGAGAUUGGGAGAGAUGUUCCAUCCCGCACAGCAAAUUGGUGAUGCUUCAGUCCAAGGGAUUUCUUCCCCCGGCGUACCUGGUCCCGGUUCGAGCCGGGCUUGCCACCUACAAUGGCGGAGAGCAAGCGGAGAGCCGUCCCAAUCCCUCCAAGGGAGAGCGGGUAUGCCUUGUCCCUUAUCUGGUAAGAGGGAUCGGAUUCCCAAUUCAUCCAUUUCUCCGGGGGCUUCUGGAGUUCUAUGGCCUCCAGCUGCACAACCUUACGCCUGCCUCCCUGCUGCAUAUCGCGGGAUUCGUAGCCCUUUGCGAGUUAUUUUUGGGCUAUGAGGCCCAUUUCGCUCUGUGGAAGAAGCUGUUCUGCCUUGUGCCCCGUUCUAAGAAGGGAUCAAUAUAUCAAGUGGGUGGAGCCGAAGUGUGGCGUAUUGCCGGGACCGGAUACCUGUCUGGGACCCCGAAGAAGACGCCGAAGACUGGCCUUCAGAAUGGUUUUAUAUAGAAGAUGUCCCCCUUCCGGACCCUAUUCGGAUCGGCCUUCCUGAGUUCGACAACGCCCCUUUGAAGAAGCACCGGAGCUGGCGUCCACGGAGCUCCCUGGAGGAAGACGACAGGGACAUUCUUUAUCUGAUGAGCCGGAUAAGUUCUUUAGCUCGAUCCGGAUUGACCAUGAUCGAGGUCAUGGCUAUAUGCAUUAUGCGGGGGGUGCAGCCGCUCCAGUAUAGAGGCCACCCCAUGUGGGAUUUCAACGGGGAGGAUGACGCCACCCGCCACGGCCGCAAAGGGCUGGGACCGGCUGCUGAUCUAAUAAAGAUCUUGUCCACUUUGUACAAGGGAGAAGAGCAGGAAUUCCUCCAUGCCAACCCGCAGGGCGGAUUCUCUAUGUACAAUCCUCCGAGCUGGGUAAGCGGAGACUUUUUCUCGCCCAUCCGUUUCGUAUUCCUGUAGUUUAAGUAUUCAUUCUAUCGAUUUCAUCGCAGGAGCUGCGCCAGGCAGUAAAGGAGAUAAACAACCCUCCUCCAUAGCCUGAGGACCCUGGACGGUCCCUUGACAAGGCCUCCCAGGAGGAUCUGGACAUAUCCAUGGAGCUGAUUGACAGGGUAUUUUACCAAGGGAGUAAUGACAAUACCUUGGUGGCCAUUACGGCCGAUUACCCUGGGCUAGUUCCAGCCUCACAGGUGACUGAGACCAAAAUCCCAGCACUUAAAAAGCGAUCCGUCCUUGUGCUCUUUUCUUAUUGCCGUAUAACAGCCGUGUUUUGCAGGGGAGGUCCUCGGGGCAGAAGGCCGAGCCUGUGGCAACUAGCCAACAAGGGGCCGCUAGGCCAGGCAGGCUGAAAAGAUCCGUAGUCCGGAUUGAGGCACCGGCGUAGCAGUAUGGCGCGCCGUCUUUAUUGCAAGACAUUAUUUACAGAGGCGUGUUAAUGCCCAUGCCUUCUUUUCAGGAAAAAGAGCGCUCGCCGGACUAUACCCGGAGAGGCUACCAAUCGCACCUCCACAAGCCAGGCUCCAAGGCCGGACUCAGAGGUGGGAACGAGUACCAGGCGUGCGCCGGGUGCUCCUCCGACAGAGGAUACGGAUAGACUGUCCGCCACCCAUUCCGAGGUGGAAAGUGCCAUGAACCACAGACGUCGCCGGACUGUUCUUCGUGACGCUUGUUUCUCCUAAGAGGCAUUGGAUGCCUUCAACUCGGGAGACGCGCACCUCCGUGCCGCUCAAAAUGGUCUAGCCAGAGCCACGGAGCAGUAUGUAAAAGACAUACGGGUGAGAAAAUUUGAUGAUUAUAUAUAUCAGUAGCCCCUGAUACUUGAAACAAUUAGGAUAAUUGGUUUAAGGAUCAUUUGUUAUGUAGGUUCUUACAGAAAAGAAUACUCAACUGUCCCAGGAGCUGGAAGAGUGCAAAGUCCAACUUCAGGCCGCACGGCCGCAUCAGGGGAGCCCAAAGAGACCCCCUCUGGUAACAUAUCCAUCAAAUGAUAAGUAUCAUAUUAGAGUGCAGCUUUAUAUGCAGAUCUGACGAUAACAUUGCAGAUGACGCUGGAGUGAAUCCGGAUAAGCAACAGCUCAUACGCUAGCUGAAGGCCAGUGAGAGCGUGCUUACAAGGGUGAGACAGGAGAAGAAUGAUCUCCAAGAUGCCAACACCAAGCUGGGCGUGGAACUAAAAGAUGUUCGUGCCCAACUGUCGGACUCUGUUAAGGAGAAUCGGCGGCUUCGACGCGGCAAAUUUAGUAAGUGCUUGAAUGAACUUUGAAAAAGAGUUUGGCGAGGAAGUUGGCUGACAGAGUUAUGUCUGUAGGUAUGCUAACAGGUCGUCCUGCCGAGGAGAUGCCUAGUUCAACGGGUGAUCUUCCCGAGCUCGCACAGUUGCACGAACGAGUUCGGUAGGUGAUGCAGGGCAUUGCCCAGGCCUUGUGGCCGUUCGUCUCCAUACCCGAAGGCCUUGGAGAGCUUGCAGAAAAGCUGAAGGGAGCAUGGCGGCGCUUCCGAUUAUGGAAGAUAUCGGCCUGCCGUAAGGGCGCCAGGGAAGCUUGGGCAGUGGUGAAGACACGGUACACGAAGGCUGACCCGAACCACAUGGCCGAAGUCAGACCUGUGGGGCCUGAUGGCAAGGAGAUCCCUGUGAAUUUAGUGUACGGCCAAGUAGAAUUGGCCGCAAAGUAUUCCCAACAGGACUGUAGACUAGACAGCCUAUUGGAUGGCAUUGAAGAGGAAUUCAACCAGUCAAAUUGACUAUGUAAUUUUAAAGUGACAUAUAUGAUGCCUUUUAGCCGGAUUGUAGAUCGUUUGUCGUGGCGGACCUUUUCGCUUCAACCUCGGGACCCGACAGUCCGGAGUGUAUCCGAAUACCCUCUCGGUUAUAUAAGAACCGGGGCAUGUGUGGAGACCAGGCAUAGGGGUCAUUAGUUCUUUAUCAGACAAGUGCCCAACUAGUUAUGUUAUAUUACAUGGGUAGUAAGAAACAUCUUCCAGGGAGAAUAGUUCCGUUAAGGGUUCCUUUCCCUGGGUAGGCAUGCCCUAAAGUGCAUGUCCAGACUGCGACAAGAAGCGCAGUAAAAAUGUCUGGGGGCAGAUAUGGAUAAUAGAUAAAAGUCAUCUUUUGUUCACCGACCGAAUAUUCUCUUAAGAACGCUAGCUUUUGGCUUCACCCAGUCUGAGGUACACGUCCGGCUGACCCGGCGGUAACAAUCGCAGAGGUGCUCCCCUUAUGCCCUAGCCGAAUUAACGGGAACGUAGGGCAUAAAUACAAGAGCCAGGCAACCCAGCUUGGCCAAAACUUAAGUCAUAUCGAUGCAUAUAAUGGUGAAAAAAGGUACAUGCAAAAGUAUAACACAUGUGUUGGGCGUGGGUCCCAGGUAAAUAAUUUAAGCUUCUGUGAGAGAAGCCCCCAGGAAUGAAGAGUGCGGCUAGCGCAUCUGUGAUGUAUGAGUGAGGCACAAGGUGACCCUUGAAGGCCUAGGGAGAUAAAAAGAAAGAAAGGGAAACAAGACAGAUGAUGCAUAUGCAGAAAAUGGACGAAGGGAGGGGACUAACAUAAAGUCCGGAGCUAGGCGUAGAAUCUUCGGAGCCUGGCUGCGUUCCAUGGGUUCGGCUCGAGUCGACUGGUCGAUGCAUCCCGCAGUUAGUACGCUCCACCGGUCAGAACUUGGUCGAUAAUGAAGGGACCUUCCCAUUUGGGCUCGAGCUUGUUCUUUUUCUUAUCUGACAGCCGUAGAACUAGUUCGCCAACGUUAUAAGUUUUGGCCCAUACUUAUCUGCUUUGGUAUCUCCGAGCCUGUUGCUGGUAAAAUGCGGAACGGGCUUUGGCUACGUCGCGCUCUUCCUCAAAUGUGUCCAGACCGUCCUGCUGAUCGAGCUCGGCUUCUCUUUCUUCAUACAUGCGCACUCGAGGUGAGUCAUGAGUUAUGUCACGGGGCAGGACUGCCUCUACGCUGUACACCAUAAAAAAUGGUGUAUAUCCGGUACUACGAUUCAGCGUGGUCCGCAGUCCCCAGAGUACGGAGUCGAGCUCCUCUACCCAGUGCGUAUCGGACUCCGUUAAGGAGCGCACUAAUCGGGGUUUAAUGCCGCUCAUUAUAAGACCAUUUGCUCGUUCGACUUGACCAUUGGUUUGUGGGUGAUAGACUGAAGCGUAAUCGAGCUUGAUGCCCAUUUUACUGCACCAGAGUUUUACCUCGUCGGCCGUGAAGUUCGUGCCGUUAUCAGUGAUGAUGUUGUGGGGGAUGCCGUAACAGUGUACAACCCCGGAUAUGAAAUCUAUCACCGGUCCGGAUUCGGCUGUUUUUACCGGUUUAGCCUCUAUCCAUUUGGUGAAUUUAUCCACCAUGACCAAUAAGUAUUUUUCCUUGUGGGUUCCCCCUUUAAGGGGUCCGACCAUGUCAAGCCCCCAGACCACAAAUGGCCAUGUAAUGGGGAUCGUUUGGAGGGUGGUGGGUGGCAUGUGGCUUUGAUUUGCAAAUAGCUGGCAACCGGUGCAACAUUGGACCAAGUCCUGUGCAUCUGCCCCGGCCGUUGGCCAAUAAAAUUCUGUGUGGAAGGCUUUGCUUACAAGAGCCCGGGCUGCGGCGUGAUGACCGCCAAGUCCGGCAUGAAUUUCUGCCAAAAGAUUCCGCCCUUCCUCUUCGGAGAUGCACCUUUGAAGGACUCCGGUAGCGCUUUUUUUGUACAAUUCUCCCUCGUGGACCCUGUAGGCUUUGGAUCGCCGCACUAUGCAGCGUGCCUCAUUUUGGUCCUUCGGAAGUUCCUGUCUAAUUAGGUAGGCCAGGAAUGGUUCUGUUCACGGGGCAAUAAUGGCCAUUAUUUCGUGGGUUGAUUGUGUUAUUUCGGUGGCGGAGCCUCCAAUUGUGUCAGAGAGUUCGGUAUCAGGUAUUUUGGCCGGGUCCGGACUGUUGUUACCGGUGUCCCCUUCCCAUGCUACGGAUGGCUUAAAAAUCCUUUCCAGAAAAAUGUUGGGAGGGACCGCGUCGCGUUUUGAGCCAAUGCGGGUGAGGAUAUCCGCCGCCUGAUUGUUUUCCCGAGCCACAUGGUGAAAUUCAAGCCCCUCGAACUGAGCUGACAUUUUUAGGACGGUGUUGCGAUAAGCGGCCAUUUUUGGAUCCUUGGCAUCAAAGUCUCCAUUUAUUUGGGAUAUCGCGAGGUUUGAAUCCCCACGCACCUCUAGGCGUUGAAUGCCCAUGGAUACUGCCAUCCGGAGACCAUGUAGAAGGGCCUCAUAUUCGGCUGCGUUGUUGGAGUUCGUAUACAUUAUCUGCAGUACGUAUUGAAUGGUGUCUCCUGUUGGGGACGUCAAAACGACGCCAGCCCCCAGACCAGCCAACAUUUUGGAGCCGUCGAAGUGCAUGAUCCAGUUUGAAUAUGUGUCAUACUCUUUAGGGAGUUCGGCUUUCGUCCAUUCAGCAACGAAGUCAGCCAAAACUUGCGAUUUAAUAGCUCGCCGUGGCUUGUAAGUUAUGUCGAAUGGGAGGAGCUCAACGGCCCAUUUGGCAAUCCGGCCCGUCGCGUCGUGGUUGUUUAUAAUAUCGUUAAGUGGUACUUCCGAGGCUACCGUUAUCGAACACUCUUGAAAGUAGUGUCGCAGCUUUCGAGAUGCCAUAAAUACCGCGUACGCUAUCUUUUGAUAAUGCAGGUACCGUGAUUUGCAUGGAGUAAGGACAGUGGACACGUAGUAAACCGGCUUUUGAAGGGGAAAUUUGUGUCCGUCCAUUUCUCGCUCGAUGACAAGCACUGCGCUUACUACUUGAUGAGUUGCCACAAUGUAUAAUAGCAUUGGUUCGCCAAUGUUUGGCGCGGCCAGGACUGGGUUUGUUGCCAAUAUGGCUUUUAUUUCAUUGAGUCUGGCCGUGGUGGCGUCCAUCCACUCGAAGUGUUCGGUGUGCUGGAGGAGGCGAUAAAGGGGUAAUGCCUUUUCUCCCAAGCGGGAGAUAAAGCGGCUUAGAGCCACCACGCAUCCAGUUAAUUUUUGUAUUUGUUUGAGGUCUGUUGGGGUAGCCAACUAUGACAACGCUCGGAUUUUGGCCGGAUUAGCUUCAAUACCUCUACCGGAGACAAUGAAUCCCAGGAGCUUUCCUGCUGGUACGCUGAAAAUGCAUUUUUCCGGAUUGAGCUUGAUGUCAUAUGUUCGGAGGUUGUCGAAUGUGAGCCUCAAGUCGUCUACUAGAGUUUUGACAUGCUUGGUUUUAACGACCACGUCAUCCACGUAUGCCUCCACUGUUUUGCCGAUCUGGUUUGCCAUGCAUGUCUGAAUCAUGUGCUGGUAUGUUGCACCGGCGUUUUUUAGCCCGAAGGGCAUUGUGUUGAAGCAGAAUGGGCCGUAUGGUGUGAUGAAUGCCGUUGCGGCUUGGUCUGGCUCUGCCAUUUUGAUUUGAUGGUAGCCGGAGUAUGCGUCGAGGAAACACAAUGAAUCGUGUCCUGCGGUAGCAUCGAUGAUUUGCUCGAUGCGGGGGAGGGGGAAGGGAUCCUUUGGGCAGGCCUUGUUAAGGUCCUUAAAAUCGACGCACAAGCGCCAGGAUUUGUCCUUGUUUGGUACCAUCACCAGGUUUGCUAGCCAGUCCAGAUGUUUUAUGUCUCUGAUGAAUCCGGCCUCCAAUAGCUUGGGUAGUUCCUCUCCCAUGGCUUGUCUUUUAGGCUCGGAGAAACGUCGAAGAGCCUGCUUGACUGGCCUGAAUCCUUUUAGGAUAUUUAGGUUGUGUUCAGCCAACCUGCGUGGGAUUCCUGGCAUGUCUGAAGGGUGACGGGCAAAAAUAUCCCAGUUCUCGCGUAGGAACUUUCGCAGUGCAGCGUCGACAUCAGGGUUUAAUUGUGCCCCGAUGGAAGUGUUAGAAAUAUGCCCUAGAGGCAAUAAUAAAUUGGUUAUUAUUAUAUUUCCUUGUUCAUGAUAAUCGUUUAUUAUCCAUGCUAGAAUUGUAUUGAUAGGAAACUCAGAUACAUGUGUGGAUACAUAGACAACACCAUGUCCCUAGUAAGCCUCUAGUUGACUAGCUCGUUGAUCAAUAGAUGGUUACGGUUUCCUGACCAUGGACAUUGGAUGUCAUUGAUAACGGGAUCACAUCACUAGGAGAAUGAUGUGAUGAACAAGACCCAAUCCUAAGCCUAGCACAAGAUCGUGUAGUUCGUUUGCUAAAGCUUUUCUAAUGUCAAGUAUCAUUUCCUUAGACCAUGAGAUUGUGCAACUCCCGGAUACCGUAGGAGUGCUUUGGGUGUGCCAAACGUCACAACGUAACUGGGUGGCUAUAAAGGUACACUACGGGUAUCUCCGAAAGUGUCUGUUGGCUUGGCACGAAUCGAGACUGGGAUUUGUCACUCCGUGUAAACGGAGAGGUAUCUCUGGGCCCACUCGGUAGGACAUCAUCAUAAUAUGCACAAUGUGACCAAGGAGUUGAUCAUAGGAUGAUGUGUUACGGAACGAGUAAAGAGACUUGCCGGUAACGAGAUUGAACAAGGUAUCGGGAUACCGACGAUCGAAUCUCGGGCAAGUACAAUACCGCUGGACAAAGGGAAUUGUAUACGGGAUUGAUUGAAUCCUCGACAUCGUGGUUCAUCCGAUGAGAUUAUCGUGGAACAUGUGGGAGCCAACAUGGGUAUCCAGAUCCCGUUGUUGGUUAUUGGCUGGAGAGUUGUCUCGGUCAUGUCUGCAUGGUUCCCGAACCCGUAGGGUCUACACACUUAAGGUUCGGUGACGCUACAGUUGUUAUGGUAAAUAGUAUGUGGUUACCGAAGGUUGUUCAGAGUCCCGGAUGAGAUCCCGGACAUGAUGAGGAGCUCCGGAAUGGUCCAGAGGUGAAGAUCGGUAUAUUGGACGAAGGGUAUUGGAGUCCGAAGUGUUCCGGGGGUAUUAGGCUAUGGCCAGCAUGACCGAAAGGUGUUUCGGGAGCCCCGGCAAGUGUGGGAGGGCCUCAUGGGCCAAAGGGGAAGGGGCAAACCAGCCCACUAAGGGGUGGUGCGCCCCCCACACCCUUUCCCAUGUUACUUGGGGGGUUGGGGCGCCUCCACCUGGCUUGGGAGGCAAGCCUCCACCUGCUUGGCUUGGGGGCAAGUCUCCCUAGGAUUUUCCCUAGGGAGAUCCAAUCUGCCUAGCCGCCGCCCCCUAGGGGAAACCCUAGUGCGCCUCCCCCUCUCCCCUUGCCCCUAUAUAUAAUGGAGGGGUGGGAGGGCAGUCGUGACCUCUUCCCUGGUGCAGCCCUCCCUCCUCCAACUCUUCCUCCUCCUCCGUAGAGCUUAGCGAAGCCCUGCAGGAAUACCACAAGCUCCACCACCACGCCGUCGUGAUGCUGGAGUUCUCCCUCAACUUCUCCUCUCCCCUUGCUGGAUCAAGAAGGAGGAGACGUGCCCGGGCUGUACGUGUGUUGAACGCGGAGGCGCUGUCCGUUCGGCGCUAGAUCGGAAUCAACCGCGAUCUGAAUCGCUGCGAGUACGACUCCUUCAUCCGCGUUCUUGCAACGCUUCCGCUUAGCGAUCUACAAGGCUAUGUAGAUGCACUCCCCUUACCCUCAUUGCUAGAUUACUCCAUAGUUUGAUCUUGGUGAUGCGUAGAAAAUUUUAAAUUUCUGCUAUGAUCCCCAACAGUGGCAUCAUGAGCUAGGUCUAUGCGUAGUUUCUAUGCACGAGUAGAACACAAAGCAGUUGUGGGCGUCGAUUUUGUCAAUUUACUUGCCGUUACUAGUCUUAUCUUGAUUUGGCGGCAUCGUGGGAUGAAGCGGCCCGGACCGACCUUACACGUACUCUUACGUGAGACUGGUUCCACCGACUGACAUGCACUAGUUGCAUAAGGUGGCUAGCGGGUGUCUGUCUCUCCCACUUUAGUCGGAUCGGAUUCGAUGAAAAGGGUCCUUAUGAAGGGUAAAUAGAAAUUGGCAUAUCACAUUGUGGUUUUCGCGUAGGUAAGAAACGUUCUUGCUAAGAAACCUAUAGCAGCCACGUAAAAACUUGCAACAACAAUUAGAGGACGUCUAACUUGUUUUUGCAGCAUAUGCCUUGUGAUGUGAUGAAUGAUAUAUGUGAUGUAUGAGAUUGAUCAUGUUCUUGUAAUAGGAAUCACGACGUGCAUGUCAAUGAGUAUGACAACCGGCAGGAGCCAUAGGAGUUGUCUUAAUUUAUUUAUGACCUGCGUGUCAACAUAAAUGUCAUGUAAUUACUUUACUUUAUUGCUAAAGCGUUAGCCAUAGUAGUAGAAGUAAUAGAUGACGAGACAACUUCAAGAAGACACGAUGAUGGAGAUCAUGAUGAUGGAGAUCAUGGUGUCAUGCCGGUGACAACGAUGAUCAUGGAGCCCCGAAGAUGGAGAUCAAAAGGAGCAAAAUGAUAUUGGCCAUAUCAUGUCACUAUUUGAUUGCAUGUGAUGUUUAUCAUGUUUUACAUCUUAUUUGCUUAGAACGACGAUAGCUUAAAUAAGAUGAUCCCUCGUAAUAAUUUCAAGAAAAGUGUUCCCCCUAACUGUGCACCAUUGCGAAGGUUCGUUGUUUCGAAGCACCACGUGAUGAUCGGGUGUGAUAGAUUCUAAUGUUCGAAUACAACGGGUGUAAGCCAGAUUUACACAUGCAAUACACUUAGGUUGACUUGACGAGCCUAGCAUGUACAGACAUGGCCUCGGAACACGGAAGACCGAAAGGUCGAGCAUGAGUCGUAUAGAAGAUAUGAUCAACAUGAAGAUGUUCACCGAUGUUGACUAGUCCGUCUCACGUGAUGAUCGGACACGGCCUAGUUGACACGGAUCAUGUUUCACUUAGAUGACUAGAGGGAUGUCUAUCUGAGUGGGAGUUCAUUAAAUAAUUUGAUUAGAUGAACUCAAUUAUCAUGAACAUAGUCUAAAUUGUCUUUGCAAAUAUGUUGUAGAUAAAUAGCUCACGUUGUAGCUCCCUGUUUCAAUACGUUCCUAGAGAAAGAUUAAGUUGAAAGAUAUUGUAAGCAAUGAUGCGGACUAGGUCCAUAGUCCGAGGAGUGCCCUCACUGCUACACAGAAGGCUUACGUCUUUGAUGCACCGCUCGAUGUGCAAACCCCUACAACGUCGUCUGUGGAUGUUGUGAACACAUGACAGACACAUCCUGAUGACUACAUGAUAGUUUAGUCCACCAUACUUUACGGCUUAGAAUCGGGAUUCCAAUGACGUUUUGAACGCCAUAGAACAUAUGAGAUGUUCCAAGAGCUGAAAUUGGGAUUUCAGGCUCAUGCCCGUGUUGAGAGGUGUGAGACCUUUGACAAGUUCUUUUGCCAACAGGAUGGAGGAGAAUAGCUCAGCUAAUGAGCAUGUGCUCAGAAUGUCUGGGUGCUACAAUCACUUAAAUCAAGUGGGAGUUAAACUUCCAGAUAAGAUAGUGAUUGAUAGAGUUCUCUAGCCACUAUCACUAAGCUACUAGAUCUUCAUGAUGAACUAUGACAUGCAAGGGAUGGAGUUGAUCCCGGAGCUGUUCGCGGUGCUUAAGACCGCAAAAGGUAGAAAUCAAGAAGGAGCAUCAAGUGUUGAUGGUUUAACAAGACCACUGGUUUCAAGAAGGGCAAGGGCUAGAAGGGAAACUUCAUGGAUGGCAAACCAGUUGCCGCUCCAGUGAAGGAACCCAAGGUUGAACCCAAACCCGAGACUAAGUGCUUCUAUUGUAAGGGGAACGGUCACUGGUAGCGGAAUUACCCCAAAUUCAUGGUAGAUAAGAAGGCUGGCAACUUCAACAAAGUAUAUACGUGUUAUUAAUGUGUACCUUACUAGUACUCCUGGUAGCACCUGGGUAUUGGAUACCGGUUCAGUUGCUAUUAUUGGUGACUUGAAGCAAAAGCUACAGACUAAACGGAGACUGGCUAAGGGCGAGGUGACGAUGUGUGUUGGAAGUGUUUCCAAAGUUGAUGAGAUCACCAUCGCACGCUCCAUCUUCCUUCGGGAUUAGUAUUGAACCUAGAUAUAUGUUAUCAGGUGUCUACGUUGAGCAUGAAUAUGAUUAGAUCAUGUUCAUUGCAAUACGGUUAUUCAUUUAAGUUAGAGAAUACUGGUUAUUCUGUUUACAUGAAUAAUACCUUUCAUGGUCAUGCAGCCUAUGUGAAUGGUUCAUUGAAUCUCGGUCGUGGUAAUACAUGUUCACACCAAAAGAUGUAGAGUUAAUAAUGAUAGUACCACUUUCUCGUGGCACUGCCGCUUAAGUCAUAUUGGCGUAAGAUGCAUGAAGAAACUCCAUGUCGAUGGAUGUUUGGAGUCACUUGAUUUUGAAUCGCUUGACACAUGCGAGCCAUGCCUCAUGGGCACGAUGACUAAGACCCCGUUUUCAGGUACAAUGAAACGGGCAAGUGACUUGUUGGAGAUCAUGCAUGCUGAUGCAUGUGAUCCAAUGAGAAUUGAAGCAUGCAGUGGAUAUCACUAUUUUCUCAUCUUCACUGACGAUUUGAGUAGAUAUAGGUAUAUCUACUUAAUGAAGCACAAGUCUGAAACGUUUGAAAAGUUUAAGUGAUUUCAGAGUGAAGUUAAGAAUCAUCAUAACAAUAAGAUCAUGUUCCUACGAUCUGAUCAAAAGGGGAUUUUCUGAGUUAUGAGUUUGGCAAUCACUUAAGACAUUGUGGAAUUGUUUCAUAGUUGAAGCCACCUGGAACACCACAAGGUAAUGGUGUAUCCGGACGUCGUAAUCGAACACUAUGAGAUAUGGUGCGAUCUAUGAUGUCUCUUACCAAUCUACCGUUUUCAUUUUAAGGUUAUGCGUUAGAGACAGCUGCAUUCACUUUAGAUAGGACACCAUCUAAGUCCGUUGAGACGACGUCGUACGAACAUUGGUUUGGCAAGAAACCAAAGUUGUCGUUUCUUAAUGUUUGGGGCUGCGAUGCUUAAGGCUUCAGCCGGAGAAGCUCGAACCCAAAGCAGACAAACACAUCUUCAUAGGAUACCCAAAGGUGACAGUAGGGUAUACCUUCUAUCUCAGAUCCGAGGGCAAAUUGUUUGUCACUAAGAACGGGUCCUUUCUCGAGAAGGAGUUUCUCUCAAAAGAAUUGAGUGGGAGGAAGAUAGAACUUGAUGAGGUUGUCGAACCUUUACUUCAACCAGAGAGUGAUGCAACACAGAAAUAUGUUUUCUGUGGCACCUACGUCUGUUGAAGAGGAAGUUAAUGAUAGUGAUCAUGAAGCUUCGGAUCAAGUUGCUAUCGAACCUUGUAGGUCGACAAGGAUAUGUACUACUCCUGAGUGGUACAGUAAUACUGUCUUAGAUAUCAUGUUGUUAGACAACAAUGAACCUACGAGCUAUGGAGAAGCGAUGGUGGGCCUGUAUUCAGACAAAUGGUUAGAAGCCAUGAAAUCUGAGAUAGGAUCCAUGUAUCAGAACAGAGUAUGGACUUUGGUGGACUUGGCCGAUGAUCGGCAAGCCAUUGAGAAUAAAUGGAUCUUUAAGAAGAAGACGAACAUGGACGGUAAUGUUACCGUCUAUGAAGUGCGACUUGUGGGAAAGAGUCUUUUCACAAGUUCAAGGAGUUGACUACGAUGAGAAUUUCUCACUCGUAGCGAUGCUUAAGUCCGUCGGAAUCAUGUUAGCAUUAGCUGUAUUUUUCGAUUAUGAAAUCUGACAGAUGGAUGCCAAAACAAGUUUUCUUACCAGUUUCCGUAAGAAAAGUUUGUAUGUGAUACAAUAAAAGGUUUUGUCGAUCCUAAGGAUGCUAAAAGGUAUGCUUGCUCCAGCAAUCCUUCUAUGGACUAGAGCAAGCAUCUCGGAGUCAGAAUACAUGCUUUGAUGGAGUGAUCAAAGCUUUUAGGUUUAUACAAUGUUUGCUACAAACUUGUAUUUACAAGAAAGUGAGUGGGAGCACAACAACAAUUCUGAUAAGUAUAUGUGGAUGACAUAUUGUAAGAUCCGAAAUAAUGUAGAAUUUCUGGAAAGCAUAAACGGUUGUUUGAAGAGUGUUUUUCAAAGGAGGACCUGGAUAAAGCUGCUUACAAAUUGGGCAUCAAGAUCUAUAGAGAUAGAUCAAGACGCCUGAUGAUACUUUCAAAGAACACACACCUUGACAUGUUUUUGAAGGAGUUCAAAAUAGAUCAGUCAAAGAAGGGGUUCUUACCUGAGUUGUAUGGUGUGAAGUUGAGUAAGACUCGAAGCUUGACCACGACAGAAGAAAGAGGAAGGACGAAGGUCGUCCCCUAUGCUUUUGUCAUAGGCUCUAUACGGUAUGCCAUGCUGAAGUACCGCACCUGAUGUUUGCCUUGCCACAUGUCUGGCAAGAGGGUACAAAGGUGAUCUAGGAGUAGAUCACCGGAUAGCGGUCAAAAAUUAUCCUUAGAGGAAUAAGGAAAUGUUUCUCGAUUAUGGAGUUGAUAAAGAGUUCGACGUAAAGAGUUACAUCGAUGCAAGCUUAACACCUAUCCGGAUAGCUCUGAGUAGAGAUAUCAGAUACGUAUAAUGGAGCAACAAUUUGGAAUAGCUCCAAGUGGAACGUGGUAGCAGCAUCUACGAUAUAAAGUUUUGCGAAAUACAUAGGGAUCUGAAUAUGGAAAGACCCGUUGACUACAACCUCUCUCACAAGCAUAACAUGAUCAAACCCAAAACUCUUUGAGUGUUUAUCACAUAGUGACGUGAACUAGAUCAUUGAGUCUAGUAGACUCUUGGAUGUAGGUCACAUGGCGAUGUGACCUGUGAGUGUUAAUCACAUGACGAUGUGAACUAGAUUAUUGACUCUAGUGCAAGUGGGAGACUGUUGGAAAUAUGCCCUAGAGGCAAUAAUAAAUUGGUUAUUAUUAUAUUUCCUUGUUCAUGAUAAUCGUUUAUUAUCCAUGCUAGAAUUGUAUUGAUAGGAAACUCAGAUACAUGUGUGGAUACAUAGACAACACCAUGUCCCUAGUAAGCCUCUAGUUGACUAGCUCGUUGAUCAAUAGAUGGUUAUGGUUUCCUGACCAUGGACAUUGGAUGUCGUUGAUAACGGGAUCACAUCAUUAGGAGAAUGAGGUGAUGGACAAGACCCAAUCCUAAGCCUAGCACAAGAUCGUGUAGUUCGUUUGCUAAAGCUUUUCUAAUGUCAAGUAUCAUUUCCUUAGACCAUGAGAUUGUGCAACUCCCGGAUACCAUAGGAGUGCUUUGGGUGUGCCAAACGUCACAAUGUAACUGGGUGGCUAUAAAGGUACACUACAGGUAUCUCCGAAAGUGUCCGUUGGGUUGGCACGAAUAGGGACUGGGAUUUUUCACUCCGUGUAAACGGAGAGGUAUCUCUGGGCCCACUCGGUAGGACAUCAUCAUAAUGUGCACAAUGUGACCAAGGAGUUGAUCAUGGGAUGAUGUGUUACGGAACGAGUAAAGAGACUUGCCGGUAACGAGAUUGAACAAGGUAUCGGGAUAUCAACGAUCGAAUCUCGGGCAAGUACAAUACCGUUGGACAAAGGGAAUUGUAUACGGGAUUGAUUGAAUCCUCGACAUCGUGGUUCAUCCGAUGAGAUCAUCGUGGAACAUGUGGGAGCCAACAUGGGUAUCCAGAUCCCGCUAUUGGUUAUUGGCCGGAGAGUUGUCUCGGUCAUGUCUGCAUGGUUCCUGAACCCGUAGGGUCUACACACUUAAGGUUCGGUGACGCUAGAGUUUUUAUGGGAAAUAGUAUGUGGUUACCGAAGGUUGUUCGGAGUCCCGGAUGAGAUCCCGGACAUGACGAGGAGCUUCGGAAUGGUCCGGAGGUGAAGAUCGGUAUAUUGGACGAAGGGUAUUGGAGUCCGGAAGUGUUCCGGGGGUAUCAGGCUAUGACCAGCAUGACCGAAAGGUGUUUCGAGAGCCCCGGCAAGUGUGGGAGGGCCUCAUGGGCAAAGGGGAAGGGGCAAACCAGCCCACUAAGGGGUGGUGCGCCCCCACACCCUUUCCCACGUUACUUGGGGGGUUAGGGCGCUUCCACCUGGCUUGGGAGGCAAGCCUCCACCUGCUUGGCUUGGGGGGCAAGUCUGCCUAGCCGCCGCCCCCUAGGGAGAUCCAAUCUGCCUAGCCGCCGCCCCCUAGGGGAAACCCUAGGGCGCCUCCCCCUCUCCCCUUGCCCCUAUAUAUAAUGGAGGGGUGGGAGGGCAGCCAUGACCUCUUCCCUGGCGGAGCCCUCCCUCCUCCAACUCUUCCUCCUCCUCCGUAGAGCUUGGCGAAGCCCUGCAGGAAUACCACAAGCUCCACCACCACGCCGUCGUGAUGCUGGAGUUCUGCCUCAACUUCUCCUCUCCCCUUGCUGGAUCAAGAAGGAGGAGACGUCCCCGGGCUGUACGUGUGUUGAACGCGGAGGCGCUGUCCGUUCGGCGCUAGAUCGGAAUCAACCGCGAUCUGAAUCGCUGCGAGUACGACUCCUUCAUCCGCGUUCUUGCAACGCUUCCACUUAGCGAUCUACAAGGGUAUGUAGAUGCACUCCCCUUCCCCUUGUUGCUAGAUUACUCCAUAGAUUGAUCUUGGUGAUGCAUAGAAAAUUUUAAAUUUCUGCUACGAUCCCCAACAGGAAGCUGUUUUUGUAGGGUCCGUUGGAUGGACUUGGAAUUUGACAAUUUCGUUCGCCAGCUUAAAGGAGGUGGACUUGGAUCUUUUAUCGAGUAUCACGUCGUCCCUGUUCACUGUGGAGCGCAACACAGUUAGUUCUUCGGCCGCUAGGGCUUCGGAUAGUGCCUCAAGGGCGAGUGCAGCUGUCUUAUUUUCGGCGCGGAGUGCUAUGUCCAGAUCACUAACAAGAGUGAUGAUUCCGUUGGGCCCGGGUAUUUUGAGCUUCAUGUACCCGUAAUGGGGUAUGGCUUGGAAGAUUGUAAACGCCUCCCGCCCUAAUAGAGCGUGGUAUCCGCUGCUAAACGGGGCCACUUGGAAUGUAAUUUCUUCGGACAUGUACUUAUCCGACGUGCCGAAUACCAUGUCUAGUGUGAUUUUUCCAACGCAGCGUGCUUCCCGACUGGGGAUGAUUCCUCUAAAGGUUGUGCUGCUUUACUUAACGCGGCUCCAGUCUAUUUCCAUCUUUUGAAGAGUUUCCUCAUAGAUGAGGUUUAAUCCACUGCCGCCGUCCAUGAGUACCUUGGUGAGUCGAAAGCCGUCCAUGAUUGGACUGAGGACCAGUGCGGCUGGUACUCGGGUUGUUCGGAAUUUAGGUUCGUCACUGGCAUUGAAGGUAAUAGCCGUGUCGCUCCAAGGAUUUAUUUCUGCUAUGUGGCAGAUUUCGGACAGGCUGUGGAGUGUUCGCUUCCAUCUAUUAUUUGACGCGAAGGUCUCAAAGACCGUUAAGACCGUAUUGUUGUGCUCGAGGUGGUGCUAUGUGGUUUUGGGGAGGAGUAGAUCCUCACCACUUUUGGCCACCAGCCGGAGUAUCCAGCAUGCUCUAAGGCUGUGCGUUGGUACUCGCAUCCGUUGUACUAUGAAUUUUGCAGGGUCCGUUGAGCCAUCCCUCCAGUACGGUUCCUUGCCCCGUAGAGGGCUUUUGCUUUUUGGUAGUUAACCCAGGUGUAUUGUGAUAAUGCACCCUUUUAUUUCGGACUGGGUUUGUAUUCAGGGCCGGAUUAUCCCAAAAUUUUAUUUCGGUUUUCCAGGCGCUUUCCAUCGCACAGUACUUUCGUACUAUGGACACCAAGUCGGUAAAGCGUGUAAUUUCGCGACGACUUAUGGCGUUGAGGAUUCCCUUGUCCAUGCAAUUAUUGCAGAAGAAUGAAAUUGCAUCUUCCUCGCGGCAGUCCUUUAUCAUGUUCUUGACCAGGAGGAAUUUGGCCCAGUAAUGGUGUACUGUUUCUUCGGGCUCUUGCCUAAUUUGGGAUAGAUCGCGUAUGUUUGGGUGGGUGGGUGGAAUUGAAUCCGAAUCCUCACCCAAUCUGAGGCUCAGUGGCCAAGGAGUUUCUGAUCUCGAAAGUUUGGAUUCUUGGAUGUCUUCCGGAAAAUCUAGCCCGCUGCCUGAUUCUGGGUUCAGGCUUUGAGUGACAUCCUCCCCUCCGUUGUUAUCCAGCUUGGAGGGAUCGGGAAUCCGGACUUAGCUAGUCCUUAAGAUGGAUGAAGGGUUGCCGCAUUGUUCUUCCACCACUGCAACGUGAUGGGUGACCUGGGGAGAGUUAAUUUCUCUCAGAUCGGGUUUGGGCCCAAUCUGAUCAUAGUCUGUAGCAACUCCCAGGGCGGCGAUGCGAUCCAAGAGCUCGUUCAGGGAAGAGAGCUCCAUUGGAUCUAAUUGCUCGGCGAGUUCCGAGUUGACGUGAAGAUUGCUUUCGAUGACCCGAGAAGUCAUCGUCGACGCAGCGGCCGAACAGGCGGUCAUAAGAAAACCACCUAGCCGGAGAGUUUGGCCGAUAGCCAGAGCUCCCUUAGUGAUAGUGUCGUCUUUAAAGACGGGACGAGACAUCCUUCCUGGUGGCGACGGCACAGCAGAACUCUCAAUGAAAGCACCAAUGUCGGUGUCAAAACCGGCGGAUCUCGGGUAGGGGGUCCCGAACUGUGCGUCUAGGCCGGAUGGUAACAGGAGGCAGGGGACACGAUGUUUUACCUAGGUUCGGGCCCUCUUGAUGGAGGUAAAACCCUACGUCCUGCUUGAUUAAUAUUGAAGAUAUGUGUAGUACAAGAGUAGAUCUACCACGAGAUCAGAGCGGCUAAACCCUAGAAGCUGGCCUAUGGUAUGAUUGUAUGUUGUGAUUGUUGUUCUACGGACUAAAACCCUUCGGUUUAUAUAGACACCGGAGAGGGUUAGGGUUACACAAGGUCGGUUACAAAGGAGGAGAUAUCCAUAUACGUAUUGCCUAGCUUGCCUUCCACGCCAAGUAGAGUCCCAUCCGGACACGAGAUGAAGUCUUCAAUCUGGUAUCUUCAUAGUCCAACAGUCCGGACAAUGGAGAUAGUCCGGCUAUCCGGAGACCUGCUAAUCCAGGACUCCCUCAAGGAGCAACAAUUUCAGUUCAAAUAUUGUCACUUGCAUGUGUUUUUCUUACUGAUUUAUUGUAUAGACAUUGUCAAGUAGUCAAUUAGCGAUAGUACAUGUUUUCUGAUUCUUGCAUAUUUGAGAGGGGCCAACUGUAUGUGGGAUUGAUGAUCAGGAACUAAUUGAAUGUCAGCCUCAUUGCCAUUUUGGGUAGAAUUCUUAUCAGCUGAACAUUGCUUCUGAUUAGGACUUGAUGAUGAUACAAGACGGUGUAACAAGACAAUGUAGUAUGAGAGUAUUUCACAAAUCACACAAUCUGUGAAGAAGACUAUGCGCUACUACACCGGAUUAUAUAGAUUCACACUUGAUCUAAGAUAAUAGUGUAUAAUUCAUUCAGUUCAAUCUACAUAUGUAGGUAGGGAACAAGAAUUAUCUCGUAACAGAAAAUACUUUACAAAGUUGUCAUAUUGGUUAUUAUUACCCCAAAUAAUGAUGCAUUAACGAUGUUAAUA